GUCGAGCGGUAGAGAGAAGCUUGCUUCUCUUGAGAGCGGCGGACGGGUGAGUAAUGCCUAUGAAUCUGCCUAGUGGUGGGGGAUAACGUUCGGAAACGGACGCUAAUACCGCAUACAUCCUACGGGAGAAGGCGGGGGACCUUCGGGCCUCGCGCCAUUAUAUGAGCCUACGUCGGAUUAGCUAGUUGGUGAGGUAAUGGGUCACCAAGGCUACGAUCCGUAACUGGUCUGAGAGGAUGAUCAGUCACACUGGAACUGAUACACGGUCCAGACUCCUACGGGAGGCAGCAGUGGGGAAUAUUGGACAAUGGGCGAAAGCCUGAUCCAGCCAUGCCGCGUGUGUGAAGAAGGUCUUCGGAUUGUAGAGCACUUUAAGUUGGGAGGAAGGGUAGUAACUUAAUACGUUGCUACUUUGACGUUACCGACAGAAUAAGCACCGGCUAACUUCGUGCCAGCAGCCGCGGUAAUACGAAGGGUGCAAGCGUUAAUCGGAAUUACUGGGCGUAAAGCGCGCGUAGGUGGUUCAGUAAGUUGGAAGUGAAAUCCCCGGGCUCAACCUGGGAACUGCUUUCAGAACUGCUGAACUAGAGUACGGUAGAGGGUAGUGGAAUUUCCUGUGUAGCGGUGAAAUGCGUAGAUAUAGGAAGGAACACCAGUGGCGAAGGCGACUACCUGGACUGAUACUGACGCUGAGGUGCGAAAGCGUGGGGAGCAGACAGGAUUAGAUACCCUGGUAGUCCACGCCGUAAACGAUGUCAACUACCCGUUGGGAGUCUUGAACUCUUAGUGGCGCGCCUCACGCGUUAAGUUGACCGCCUGGGGAGUACGGCCGCAAGGUUAAACGCCAACGAAUUGACGGGGGCCCGCGCAAACGGGGA
rnacentral:rRNA from 1 species